rnacentral:tRNA from 1 species
GCCUGGGUGGCUCAGUCAGUUGAGCAACCGACUUCGGCUCGGGUCAUGAUUUCAAUGCUUGUGAGUUCGAGCCCCACGUCGGGCU